AUUGAACGCUGGCGGCAGGCCUAACACAUGCAAGUCGAGCGAGCGGCGGACGGGUGAGUAAUGCCUGGGAAUUGCCCAGUCGAGGGGGAUAACAGUUGGAAACGACUGCUAAUACCGCAUACGAUUGGAUUGCCCAGGUGGGAUUAGCUUGUUGGUGAGGUAAUGGCUCACCAAGGCGACGAUCCCUAGCUGGUCUGAGAGGAUGAACAGCCACAAUGGAAAUGAGAAAAGGUCCCGACUCCUACGGGAGGCAGCAGUGGGGAAUAUUGCACAAUGGGGGGAACCCUGAUGCAGCCAUGCCGCGUGUGGGAAGAAGGCCUUCGGGUUGGAAAGCACUUUCAGCGGGGAGGCGGUACUCGCAGAAGAAGCAACGGCUAACUCCGUGCCAGCCGCCGCGGUAAUAC
rnacentral:rRNA from 1 species